CGCGACAAGGGAAAGUCAUUUGGGGAAAUCUCCAAUUCGGUUGUAGAACGCGCGUUGGUUUUACCGGUAAGUCCGGCAGAACAGCCGAAAGGAGUUUUUCGGCGACGAGAAGAAUCAAGACAUUUUCAAGGACGUCUACGACAACUGCGCGUCUUCGUGAUUUGGCGUUGAUAUCGAUUGAAAGGCGGUUCGGUUCGGAGUUAUUGCGCAGUUCUACAAAUGUUAUUGACGAGUUUGCCAAAACGAAAAACA